GUGUUCAUCCAUAUGCAUAAAAACUAAUGCAUAAUCAAAGCAAAUGCUAAGUAGUAACUUGGGUAUUUAAACAAGAGUCAAACUGCAGCACAAGGAGUCGGGUCUGAGUCACUUUGGACUGGCCUUGGCUCCUUACCUCUGCAGACGUAAUAAAUGUGAGUUUGCCUAACUCUCGUGUUGACGUUUUCUUCAUGCCAUCUCUGGUUAUCCAUAAAGGCCCUGUUUUAAGGCCUAACAAAAGGAUGAGUUCAAAACUAGAUGUGUGGGAUCUAAGGUACCUUUGAGCAUUGGAGGCGAAGCUGUAAGCAUGUGGUAUGUGGCCACAUCACGUAUGUACUGAACAACUUCCAGGAGUGCCAUUCGCAAUGGCUACAAGGCAAAUGCUGCUUCCUGGAGUUAUGCUAUGUGGGGACCCUGCAUAAAAGGUAUGUAAGUUGUAGAUAAAGUUUGAGAAAUCAUCAAUACAAUGAUUAAUGAAACAAGGGAGUGGAUAAAAUCACCUAGGAAAAUGAAGAUGAGGAAGAGUUCCUAACCUGAGAUCCAGACACCCAAAUUGCAUGUAAUAUUUUUAGUGUAAAUGCCCAUGUGCAUUUUUCUAGGAAGAGGAUCAUCAGCUUUCAGUGUGUUCAAAGGGGAUUAAAACAUCAAUUAAAGGAACACUACUGUGAGUGAGAAGAGGGAUAAAGCCAGAACUGCUAACAUUUAGAAGGGAAUAAAAGAAAAAGAGCCAGCAAAAAAGACUGAAUAGUCAGAACAGGAGAACUAGGAGAGAAGCAUCACAAGUUCAAAAAGGGAGUAGUCAGAGCAAGAUGCCAAAGACUGGAAUAGUCCCUUGAAUCUGGAAAUCAAAGUUGCUGUGACAUCUGUCUGAGCAAUUUCAGUGCAAGUGGAACAGGUCUCAAUUCACAGGGAACUGAAGAACAAAUGAGAGAUUCAGAAACAAAGGAGAAAAAUGAAUCCUGCUCAAAUAGAAGGCAGAUGCACACCACGCCACUAAAUUUCCAAAAUGGGCUAACCCAAGAUAUCAAAACCCACAAGUUUUGAGUGCAUCUUUUGCCAGAGAAAUCAAAUUUCGUCUCGGUAAUUAUCUGGCUGAUAAGAGUUCAGGUUUU
rnacentral:lncRNA from 1 species